rnacentral:lncRNA from 1 species
GAGUUGCUGUUGUGCUGCAGGAGAGAAAGGGAGAAAGAAAGCGUGCGACAGGGAGUGGGAGCCCCAAGUCAAGAGGAGCCCCACAGAGGCAGCCCUGGACUUCGGGACCACAGAGGUGCUGAGUGCUGCCCGAUUCUGGAUCCCACUCUGCUUAGCUCAGAACUUUGUCAGCGAGCAAGAACAAUGCCAGGAGGUCUGGAGAAAACGUGUCAUCAGUGCAUUUCUAAAAUCGCCAGCAAUGGUGUCUCUCCUGUUGUACGACUCCACCAGGAUGAGGCGGCUGCUGUCCAAGGCCGUGGUGAUUGAUGACGAUGACGAUGACGAAUACCCCUGGAGGCAGAAUGCGCACAGAUACUACAUCCACCUCCUGCUGAGCCUCUUCCUCUUCCUCUGGUUCAUCCUGGGAAACUACUGGGUCUUUUCUGUGUACCUGCCUGAUUUUCUUCCCCCUUUCCAGCAGCCUCAGGACUACUGUGACAAAACCCUGUACCUCUUUGCAGUCGGAGUCCUGGCGCUCAGUCACACUGUGCUGGUCUUGCUCCUGCUGUGCAGCGGCUGUGUCUACCUGUGCUCCAGGUGGAGACUUGCUGCCGAUGAAGACUGACAGCUGCCUUGUCCAGCAUACCAUGUAUGCAUAUGCGUGUGCAUGCACGCGCGUGCACACAGACACACAGACGCACACACACACACACACACACACAGGUUCAGAGAAGGGCAUAAAGGUAAUAAAACCUUCCCUGAAGGCAUUUAAAAAGCCACCCAAAGGCACUGAAUAUAAUAGCAGACUAAAGAAACUCUUGCCUUCCUAGACAUGGGGAAAUCACUUCUGCUCUUUUCAGAGUGGGAAUUUUGUUCUCACAAGAGUUUUCAAAGGGAUAAUUGUUUUUGAGGGUAUGAAGUGUGGGAGGCAAAGAAUGGGAGACCUUUUCAAAUCAUAGUGCAAUUUCAAUGACUGGUGCAAGAGCAAGGUUGGUUGUUGCUACUGCUGCUGUCAUUCAGCCAUGGUCACCUUGAAGUUAUAGAAAGUGCACAGACUUUCACACAAGAUAUAUCUUAACUUCACUCGCUAUGAUGGCUUUUGUUAUUAAAAGGAAAAAGAUAUUCUUUUAGUGACUCUAGCUGCCUUUUGGGAAAGUGAAGGAGCAGUCUCUUCCAGCCCUAUAUCAGAUAGGUUUGACGUGAUGGGUGGAACAUCCCAAGGUCAGCUAUAAAAUCUAACAACGUCAAAGCAGUAGCUUCCACAUAGGGGGCGGGCUGGCCUGCUACAGGCAUUGCGGAGUGCAGCGCCGUGUGCACCGUGUGCCGCUGCUGCAGGUUCUUUGCUUGGCCUUGAGUCUGUCUCUGCCUCUGGCUAUUCAAGUACCUCUCUAUGAUCUGCGGCUGGCUGGGUGGCAUAAACCAGUUUUGUAUGUUUCUGGACAGGUUGCAUGAGUUGGGGUGCCGUCAGUGUAGCUGUUUUUGGUUUCUGAGCUUAAAUAUCGAAUAAUAGCUCCUCAACCUAAUGACCAGUUAGGCUUUGGAAGCCUUUUGUAAAUUGAGAUGUCUGGAAGUCCAGGAUGACACCGAACAGUGACCACUAACCUUCCCUCUGGCUGCCGCUGUUGAGAGAUGAAGUCCAGGUCUGUUGUCAGUGCUCGCUGGGGAGCCUCUUUAUGAGCAAAAAGUCCCAUGUUUUAGAAUUUUGUAUGAAGAUACUGUCAUGAGUGUUUCUAGGGCAGUGCCCAGGGGUGCGUGGCACCUGCUUAACCGUGCUUCUCUCAGCCACGUGCAUAGCAUUUCUGUAUAUUUACACACUGCUGAGCUGUGUUUAUUUUUUAACUUUGUUAUGUUUUCGUGCUUUCUCAUCAAACCAAUCCCUGAGUGGCCAUGAAUGGAGGCACCUCCCUUCAUCAGAAGUGUCAGCUCAAACCAAGAGGCUCAUUCUUCUCCGUAGCUUUAAGAGAAAGGCCCCGUGAGUCCCAUGGGGUCUUCCCAUUUCAGUUUAGAAGCACUCCCCGGGCAGUCACCGUUAGUCCCCCUUUCCUCCCAGGUGAGAAGAAAGUGCUUGGUGUGCCAUCUGCUGGACAAAGGAAGAACAGCCCUUUUUUUGCCCCUGUCCCUAAGGGCAGUUUCUGUUUUCAUUUUCACUUGAGCCAUGGCAGAAGACCAGCGGGUGUGCAGUUUGCAGAUCCUACCUCACCUAUGAUGCCCAAUUCCAUCCUCACUGUGUCCCACGUUGCCCUCUCUGUGUUGGGGACUGGGGAGAGUCUGUGGGCUAUGAUACUGGGGUGGACAGGAGUUCCAUGGGCUCCUCUCCCACCCUCCUUUCCCCAGUCCAUGACUCGUCAGCCAUUCCCAGUCACUUAGCCAAUGCUUGGACAUCUGUGAGCAGCAAAGACCUGGGCCCAGGGACACCUGCAUGACUCCCACAUGAAAGCCUCUGAGGCUUCUGUUGCGAGGGCCUUGGCAAAGGCGGAAAGAGCUGUGAACAACCAUGGGCAUGAAGAUUUCUGUUAGCAGAUGGCAGGUACUGGUUAGUGCUUUGGAUACAUCAGUAGCUAGGUCUCAAACGUUGGACAUUCCCAGUUUCUGGUAGGCAUGAGUAUCACCAGAGUGUUGCAGAAAUCUUUCCCAGAGGGAGUGGUGGAUGAAGUGUGCUCAUUCUCAUAUGCACCCCACCAGCCCACCCCCAGUUGCAAUGGAGAAUACUGGUCAUAGGUCCUAAAUAAUUGCUAAAAUCUGGACUAUAUUUUUAGCUUUGAGUUUUCUUGUCACCAAAGCAGUAAGGAAGAGGUGAUGAUCUCUUUGUAUAGGUCAUACAUCUUCCCUGGUUUGAGGUUACAGUGAGCUAUGAUUGCACCACUGCACUCUACUCUGGGUGACAGAAUGAGACCCCAUCUCUAAAAAACAAAAUUACCCCCUUCUGGGGAAACAGGUUAGAUCCUAAAGAAAAUGUUCAUGUGCAUCCAUUCAUAGAGGGGACACUGAAUGGUUCAGUGGGUGACAUCUUCAAGCGCAGCAGGCUUUGAAUGAUAACUGAUUAAGGCCUCCCUCAGGAGAUGGUGAGAUGGUUAUGAUAAGGCACAUUUCAAGAAAGAGGCUCUGGGGCUAAGUAAGGCAAAUGGUCUAUAACUGUGGUUCUUUGAAGUCUGGCUUAAUCCAGGGAUGACACCCAGACUGUCUAGGAAGGGCUGAGCUGCGUGCCCUUUAAGUGAUCACCUCUUAGUAUAAUUUCACUGAGCUGGAGGUGAGUGUAAGAAGUUCCUGGUUAUAGAAGAAGUUAUAAUCCUUGGCAUGGCCUGAAGUAGGCAGUCCACACUGAUAUGAAAUGUGCUGUGUAUACCUGGAGAAUGAAAAUGCCCAUCUAAGACUGGCCCAAGAGCUGGGCAGCCUUCCUCCAUGGGAACCUGGCAAGGCAAUGGGAAGUGGACAUGGGAACACCUGAACUUUCUGGAUGCUAUGAAACCUCAAGGGAACAAAUUAUGUGGCAGAGAGGGAUAAUCUGUUCUUCCCAUCUGAGAAAAGACUGCAGCAAAGAUAAACUAUAUGUUGAGAUCAUUUUAUUUGCUACAUCGGGCAUCAUUCUAAAAACCAUUCUUUGCCUGAAUCUAUAUAAAUGACAGUUGAAAGCAGUAAAAGUGGGACUGUUUCACUGGAGUCAGCCACACUAGUGGUUCUCAAAUCUUGGUGAACCCUGAGAGCUACCCAAGGACUUGUUUGCAAUGCAGAAUCACAGCCCCCAGAGACUGACUUGUGGGGCCCAGCUGGUUCUGAUUCGGUGGCCAGAGAAACCGCAUGUGUGCACUCGGGCCACACAUACAGCCUGGACUGGCUUAUGUCAGGCCCAUCCUGGUUGUCACCAUGAGGACAAUAUAAUGUCACUUCCAGUACUUCGUGUUAUUUCCUUCUCUUUUAGUAUGAGAAGUGGCCAAGUGGUCAAUAGCUUUCAUCUUUGUGUAACUGAAUCUUGUGCUUCAUUUCCUUCUGGGCAUUUUUCAUUGUUGAUGAAAUAAACUUUGUUCAAUUUGU